AUUGAACGCUGGCGGCAUGCCUUACACAUGCAAGUCGAACGGUAACGGGUCCUUCGGGAUGCCGACGAGUGGAGAACGGGUGAGUAAUAUAUCGGAACGUGCCCAGUAGUGGGGGAUAACUGCUCGAAAGAGCAGCUAAUACCGCAUACGACCUGAGGGUGAAAGGGGGGGAUCGCAAGACCUCUCGCUAUUGGAGCGGCCGAUAUCAGAUUAGCUAGUUGGUGGGGUAAAGGCCUACCAAGGCAACGAUCUGUAGUUGGUCUGAGAGGACGACCGGCCACCCUGGGACUGUGACACGGCCCAGACUCCUAGGGGAGGCAGGAGGGGGGAAGUUUGGACAAUGGGCGCAAGCCUGAUCCAGCAAUGCCGCGUGCAGGAAGAAGGCCUUCGGGUUGUAAACUGCUUUUGUCAGGGAAGAAAUCUUCUGGGCUAAGACCCCGGGAGAAUGACGGUACCUGAAGAAUAAGCACCGGCUAACUACGUGCCAGCCGCCGCAGUAA
rnacentral:rRNA from 1 species